CUUACGCUUCUUCUUGAUUUCGGU
rnacentral:siRNA from 1 species